UACGAAGUGGGCUAGCGUUGCUCGGAAUCACUGGGCGUAAAGGGUGCGUAGGCGGGUUUUUAAGUCAGGGGUGAAAUCCUGGAGCUCAACUCCAGAACUGCCUUUGAUACUGAAGAUCUUGAGUCCGGGAGAGGUGAGUGGAACUGCGAGUGUAGAGGUGAAAUUCGUAGAUAUUCGCAAGAACACCAGUGGCGAAGGCGGCUCACUGGCCCGGUACUGACGCUGAGGCACGAAAGCGUGGGGAGCAAACAGG
rnacentral:rRNA from 1 species